rnacentral:tRNA from 1 species
GGGCGGUUAGCUCAGUUGGUCAGAGCGCCUGCCUUACAAGCAGGAGGUCGCAGGUUCGAGCCCCGCACCGCCCACCA